rnacentral:rRNA from 1 species
UACGUAGGGUGCGAGCGUUGUCCGGAAUUAUUGGGCGUAAAGGGCUCGUAGGCGGUCUGUCGCGUCGGGUGUGAAAACUCAGGGCUUAACCCUGAGCCUGCGUCCGAUACGGGCAGACUAGAGGUAUGCAGGGGAGAACGGAAUUCCUGGUGUAGCGGUGGAAUGCGCAGAUAUCAGGAGGAACACCGGUGGCGAAGGCGGUUCUCUGGGCAUUACCUGACGCUGAGGAGCGAAAGUGUGGGGAGCGAACAGG